AGCUCUGCCCACGGAGACUUUCCCAGUUGGAGAGCUCCCACCGCGGGGCCGGGGCGCGGGCGCGGCGCGGCGGGGGCGGCUGACCGCAGAGGCCGAGGCCCCCAGCCCGGUCCCCGCACCCCCCCCCGCCCUCCAGGUCCCCCCAGCCCGGCUCCCCGCAGCCCGGUCCCCGGUCCCCGCACCCGGUGCCCCCAGCCCUGCACCCGGUCCCCGGUCCCCGCAGCCCGUCCCCGCAGCCCGGCUCCAGGCAUCCCGGUCCCGCACCCCGACCCCGCACCGCGUCCCCGCAGCCCAGCCCAGUCCCCCCAGUCCGCCCAGUCCCCGCACCCCGGCUCCCCGGUCCCCGCACCCAGCCCCCGCAGCCCGGCUCCAGGCGCCCCAGUCUCCCCGGUCGCGCCCCCGCGGGGUCCUGCUCACCGCGCGGCCAGGACGGGACCCGCAGCUCCGCCAGGGACGUGGGCUCCGGCUCCUACCGAGGCGGCCCCGGGCGAGGAGCGGCGUGAAGUUGCAGCCCCCCGCCCCCCGCGCCCCUGCCCCCCGCGCCCCUGCCCCCCGCCCCGCGCACUGAGCGGCCCGACCCCGCGUCUCCAGCAGCCCCGGCGGCGCGACGCUCGCUCAACGCGGUCCGGCCGCUCGCACGGGGCCCCCCGCAGCCGCUCCGCGCCCCGGGCAGGGCCGCCGACCCCGCGCUCCGAGGCUUCCCGGGGGGGGGGGCGGCCGCGGUCCCUGCGGGCGGGGGGUCCCGGCGCGUCUCGGCUCGGCGGCGGCCUGCGGAGCCCCGACCUGUUACGCGCGGCCGGAGCCGGAGCCGGAGCCGGAGCCCGAGCCAGAGCCCGGCGGGGGCGGUGCACGGCGGCGGGGAGCGCACCCCGAGGGCCCGGCGCCGCCACGCGGGGGUCCCCGGCUGCGACCUCGGCGGGCGCGGGGCGCGGGGCCUGGGGGGGGCGGGGGGUCCCGGCUCGGGCCCCGCGGGUGCAGGUGCAGGCGCAGGCGGGCGCGCAGGUGGGCAGCGGGGCGGGGGGGUCCCGACCCGGGCCCGGCGGGUGCAGGUGCAGGUGCAGGUGCAGGUGCAGGUGCAGGAGGGCACGGGGGGGGGGGGGGUCCGGGCCACCGGGCCCUUGGGGCGGCUGCGGAGCCGGCAAGUUGUCAGCGGGCGGCGCGGCGGGCGAGCAGGGGCGGCCAGGGCGUGCGAGCGGGUGCGGGGCGGGUGCGGGUGAGGGUGCGGGGCGGGUGCGGGUGAGGGUGCCGUCCCCCGCCCCGUCCCGCCGGGCUCCCCCGCCCCGCCCCGCCCCGGCCCUCCCCGGCCCCAGCGGACCCGCAGCCCCGCGGCGAGAGGGGGGCGCGCAGGGGUGCGGCGGGCGCGGCUGCAGCGGGAGCCCGGGCCUUGGGCGGUGCGCGUCGGGCGGGGGCGGGGGCGGGGGCCGGGCGGGGGCCGGGGCCGGGGCCGGGAGGGGCGGGGCGGGGCGGGGCGGGGGCGCGGCGGGGCCACUUACUGCUGCGGGGUCGGCGGGCGCGGGGGCCUCCGGGCUCAGCGGCGGCGGCAGGGGCGCGGGGCGGGCUGCGGGGGGCGGCGGGCCCCGAGGCGCCUGCGGGCCCGGCUCAUGCCGCGCGGGCUGGACUGGGCUGCGGGUGCGGGCUGGGCUGCGGGCGGCCUCCCGGCGGCUCCCUCCCUCCGGCUCCCUGCGGCUCCCUCCGGCUCCGGCUCCGGCUCCGGCUCCGGCUCCGGCUCCGGCGACCGCGGCCGAGCGCUCCUCGUGCGAGCCCGCCCGCCUGCCAGACGCAACUGUGAAGUGA
rnacentral:lncRNA from 1 species